rnacentral:rRNA from 1 species
GACGAACGCUGGCGGCGUGCUUAACACAUGCAAGUCGAACGAAGAGCGAUGGAAGCUUGCUUCUAUCAAUCUUAGUGGCGAACGGGUGAGUAACGCGUAAUCAACCUGCCCUUCAGAGGGGGACAACAGUUGGAAACGACUGCUAAUACCGCAUACGAUCUAAUCUCGGCAUCGAGGAUAGAUGAAAGGUGGCCUCUACAUGUAAGCUAUCACUGAAGGAGGGGAUUGCGUCUGAUUAGCUAGUUGGAGGGGUAACGGCCCACCAAGGCGAUGAUCAGUAGCCGGUCUGAGAGGAUGAACGGCCACAUUGGGACUGAGACACGGCCCAGACUCCUACAGGAGGCAGCAGUGGGGAAUCUUCCGCAAUGGACGAAAGUCUGACGGAGCAACGCCGCGUGAGUGAUGACGGCCUUCGGGUUGUAAAGCUCUGUUAAUCGGGACGAAAGGCCUUCUUGCGAAUAGUGAGAAGGAUUGACGGUACCGGAAUAGAAAGCCACGGCUAACUACGUG